UGAGUAACCUGCCCUUAACUCUGGGAUAAGCCUGGGAAACUGGGUCUAAUACCGGAUA
rnacentral:rRNA from 1 species